rnacentral:rRNA from 1 species
CGAAAGUCAGAGGAUCGAAGGCGAUCAGAUACCGCCCUAGUUCUGACCAUAAACGAUGCCAGCCAGCGAUCCGGCUGUGUUCCUCAAAUGACACGCCGGGCAGCUUCCGGGAAACCAAAGCUUUUGGGUUCCGGGGGAAGUAUGGUUGCAAAGCUGAAACUUAAAGGAAUUGACGGAGGGGCACCACCAGGCUUGGAUAUUGCGGUUCAAUUUGACUCAACGCAGCAAACCUUACCAGGCCAGGACACAAGAAGGAUUGACAGAUUGAGAGCUCUUUCUUGAUUUUGUGGGUGGUGGUGCAUGGCCGUUCCUGGUUCGUGGAGCGAUUUGUCUUGUUUAUUCUGAUAACGGACGAGAUUCUAGCCUAUUAAAUAGACGCUUUCUUUUUGUGGCAAGCGUGUCUUCUUAGAGGGACAGGCGGUGUUUAGCCGCACGAGGCAGAGCAAUAACAGGUCUGUAAUGCCCUUAGAUGUCCUGGGCCACACGCGUUCUACAUUGAAUGAAUCAACGUGUGCUUUCCCUGUCCGAAGGGACUGGGUAACCCGUUGAACCUCAUUCGUGCUGGGGAUAGAAGAUUGAAAUUGUCCUUCUUGAACGAGGAAAUCCUAGUAAGCGCGAGUCAUCAUCUCGGGUUGAUUAGGUCCCUGCCCCUUGUCCACACCGCCCGUCGCUAUUACCGAUUGAAUGAUUUAGUGAGGUCUUCGGACUGGCGCUCGGAUUGGCUUUCGGGUCGAGCCGGCGUGCCGGAAAGAUGACCGAACUUGACCAUUUAGAGGAAAUAAAAGUCGUAACAAGG